GGGGGUGUAGCUCAGCUGGGAGAGCACCUGCCUUGCACGCAGGGGGUCAUCGGUUCGAUCCCGUUCACCUCCACCA
rnacentral:tRNA from 20 species